rnacentral:rRNA from 1 species
AGAGUUUGAUCUUGGCUCAGAUUGAACGCUGGCGGCAGGCCUAACACUUGCAAGCCGACGGGAACAGGGAAGCACUUGGUGGUUUCCUUGACGAGGGCGGGACGGGGGAUAAUGGCUGGGAAACUGGCUGAAGGGGGGGGAUAACUACUGGAAACGGGAUCUAAUACCGCGUAACGUCGCAAGACCAAAGAGGGGGACCUUCGGGCCUCUUGCCAUCGGAUGUGCCCAGAUGGGAUUAGCUAGUAAGUGGGGUAACGGCUCACCUAGGCGACGAUCCCUAGCUGGUCUGAAAGGAUGACCAGCCACACUGGAACUGAGACACGGUCCAGACUCCUACGGGAGGCAGCAGUGGGGAAUAUUGCACAAUGGGCGCAAGCCUGAUGCAGCCAUGCCGCGUGUAUGAAGAAGGCCUUCGGGUUGUAAAGUACUUUCAGCGGGGAUGAAAGGAGUAAAGUUAAUACCUUUGCUCAUUGACGUUACCCGCACAAGAAGCACCGGCUAACUCCGUGCCAGCAGCCGCGGUAAUACAGAGGGUGCAAGCGUUAAUCGGAGUUACUGGACGUAAAGCGCACGCAUGCGGUUUGUUAAGUCUUAUGUGAAAUCCCCGGGCUCAUCCUGUGAACUGCAUCUGAUACUGGCAAGCUUGAGUCUCAUAGAGGGGGUUUAGAUUCCGGGUGUAGCGGUGAUUUGUGUU